rnacentral:rRNA from 1 species
UACGUAGGGUGCAAGCGUUAAUCGGAAUUACUGGGCGUAAAGCGUGCGCAGGCGGUUAUGUAAGACAGAUGUGAAAUCCCCGGGCUCAACCUGGGAACUGCGUCCGAUACUGGAUGGCUUGAAUUCGGGAGAGGGAUGCAGAAUUCCAGGUGUAGCGGUGAAAUGCGUAGAUAUCUGGAGGAAUACCGGUGGCGAAGGCGGCAUCCUGGACCGACAUUGACGCUGAUGAGCGAAAGCUAGGGGAGCAAACGGG